rnacentral:tRNA from 1 species
UCCCUGGUGGCUCAGAUGGUAAAGCAUCUGCCUACAAUGCGGGAGACCCAGGUUCGAUCCCUGGGUUGAGAA